rnacentral:tRNA from 1 species
GCCUCUGUGGCCCAAUGGAUAAGGCAUUGGCCUCCUAAGCCAGGAUUGCGGGUUCGAGUCCCGCCAGAGGUU